GUCACCUUGCCGGAGUGGUUAACGGGAUCGCCUGCUAUUCCAGCUGCAAAGCGGUUGGGCUUUGCCCGCGAGUGUUCGAAUCGCUCAGGUGACG
rnacentral:tRNA from 1 species